rnacentral:rRNA from 1 species
AACGAACGCUGGCGGCAUGCCUAACACAUGCAAGUCGAACGAAGCCUUCGGGCUUAGUGGCGCACGGGUGCGUAACGCGUGGGAAUCUGCCCCUUGCUUCGGAAUAACAGUUAGAAAUGACUGCUAAUACCGGAUGAAGUCUUCGGACCAAAGAUUUAUCGGCAAGGGAUGAGCCCGCGUAAGAUUAGGUAGUUGGUGGGGUAAAGGCCUACCAAGCCGACGAUCCUUAGCUGGUCUGAGAGGAUGAUCAGCCACACUGGGACUGAGACACGGCCCAGACUCCUACGGGAGGCAGCAGUGGGGAAUAUUGGACAAUGGACGCAAGUCUGAUCCAGCAAUGCCGCGUGAGUGAUGAAGGCCUUAGGGUUGUAAAGCUCUUUUACCAGGGAUGAUAAUGACAGUACCUGGAGAAUAAGCUCCGGCUAACUCCGUG